CAGGGAUUCCAAGGGUAGCACCAAAGGGACCCCCUUCUUACUAAUCAGGGCCUUUGAGAGACCACUAGACCCUGUGAAUGGCCUCAAGAGAAAACAACACAGGAACUAGAGACAGCAUUUUGAAAUGCAAGAGAAAAUUUACUUUACUUCCUCUUUCAAUAUACUUUGGAAAUAAAAUGAGACACUUACCAAAAAGUAAGAAAAUUUAAUUGGCUGUUAAGAAAUUGCCCUAACUAUAAAAAAAUCCAAAGUGGUUAUUUCAAGAGAAGCCCCCCUUCCCAAAAGCCCCAUAGACCAGACCCCCCACCCCACCCCGGUGGCCGAGGAACGCACAGAUUACCUCAGCAGCCCCCGUCGCCUUAGGAGGCUUGCAUCACUCUUCUCACUGUUGGAGAAAUGGAACAGAUGUCCCCUUGGCAAUUUUUCUCCAAAGGACCUCAGAAAGUAACAGCUGCUACAGGCUUCAGCCAUGCCUUCCAGGCGCUUCUGAAGAUGAGGGAAUUUCCUUCCUUCCUCCGCGCCCUCCCUGAGUCUCCACCCACAGAGCCUGGUCUGCUCCAGCACAGAGCGCAGGACAGAUCUGAUAUACAUAAAUCAACAUAUUACUCAUUUUCUAGCACUGCCUUUGACAGCUGUUACAUGGGCACAUUGUUGGAAACUGUCAAGCAGUGAUACACAGUGCCUUUUACAACAUAUGUUGACUUUUAUCUAAUGUAGUUCCAUAAUUAGCCCCAGGGAAAGUGAAUCCAGGCAUCCACCUGGCUGUGUGAUCUCAGUUAACCUUUGCUUUCUUCUGAGGAAUGCUAGUAGGGUGGAGGCAGAGACCCAAGCUGCUGUGUCCCAGGGACUCAGAGAAGCCAGUACAGGUGUGAGCUGAGUAGGAUCGGCAUACUUCUUACACCUUCCUGCCCUCUGCCCAUGCUCCAGGGAAAGUAUGUCAGCAGUCAGAGGCCAAGGAGUCUGGAGAGGUACAGCUGGUGUUCAGAUCCUCUAGGCCUGGAGGAGUCUGGGAGUCAUUGUGGGAAAGAUCUCCCUGGAACCUGGACAGUAAAGAACUUGAAAGAAAAAGCUAAGCAUUGCUCCAAAGGUUACCCUUGGUGCUCCCUCAGGUUUCUCUUUUGGAAAAAGACAAAACUUGCAAACUGCACGUGGCAAUAAAAACAUGCUUCCACGGAUUCGCAGGGUUCAGCAGGUGUCUUAGCAAGGGAGUGUAACAGGCAGAAUAUAAACUUGGGAUAAGAGCAUUUCAAUGCCUUCAUUUACCAACAUAGGAACCUUUGGAACCCUUGUAAUUUGCCAGGUCCUCCAUGUCCUCAGCUUCAAAUGGCAAUAAGGGCAGCAGGUGCUAUGUCACUGAAGAUAGGAGCUGUUCGCCAAGGCUCCUCCAGCACCAUGGACAGUGCCUGGAUCAAGAAAUAUUUUUAGUGAAUGAAUUCAUACACAGGCGUUCUAAUGAAGACCAAAUGAGAUGUGGAAACAUGUUGAAGACAGAAAAUCUGUGUCCAAAUAUGAGUUAUCUGAUUUAACUUUCCAUGUGUGAUUCUGUGAGCCAAGUUGGAGACAGAGCUCUGGUUAUCUUAAAAGCAAUGGAUCAGAAUAGAUCUGAGACAAACCAAAAUGCAUGAAUAGGGAUAAAGGCAUGAGAGUUUUCUAAAUAAAUAUUUGAAGACAACUAGCAUUCCCUACCCCAAGUCAAAAGAAAAAAAAAUCCUAGAAAAGGGAAAUUCCCAAGAGGGUCUUCUCCAGAAAGCCUUGUACCUCCACCUUGGUCCCAUCAGUUAGAGACUCUGCUUAAGUCAUACACAAUCCAUGAGCAUCAUUCUGCCUCCUUCCCUCCCUCCAUGAGCAUCACCUUUUGUUCUGCAGUGUCAGAGCAACUAUGGGAAUUCACAAGGAAUGCAUGCUGUUAUUCUCUAGGUUAAGCCCCCUGGGAUGCAAUGAAGACAGGAUGCUGCCCUUGGCCUCAAGGAGCUAAUGGACCAAUGGAAGAGAGAGUCCAAUAAAAUGACAGUAUAGUAAGAGCUCUACACAGAAGUAAACAGUAAAAGAGAAAAGGGCCAAAGGCAGAAUCCCAAAGAAAAGACAUUUAGGAUUUGGGUGAAAAUGAGAAUCCAAAGUAAGAAGAAAACUAGGAAAUAAAGAUGUCAUAGAAACCAAUAGAGAAGAAAAUUUCAAGAAUGAUUCCUCACUUAAAGUAUUACAUGCAUAGAAAAUUCAAAUAAGAUAGGAAUUGAAAAAGAUUCAGGGAGUUCCUCUUGUGGCUCAGUAGGUUAUGAACCCAACUAGUAUCCAUGAGGAUGCAAGUUCAAUCCCUGGCCCUGCUCAGUGGGUUAAGGAUCCUACAUUGCUGUGAGCUGUGGUUUGCAGAAGCGGCUGGAAUCUGGCAUUGCUGUGGUGUAAGCCAGCAGCUGCAGCUCCGAUUCGAUAUAUAGCCUGGGAAUUUCCACAUGCCUCAGGUGUGACCCUAAAAAGACAAGGAAGGAAGAAAGGAGGGAGAGAAGGGAUUUAGUAGAUUCACUAUCAAUGAGUAUAUGGUUUUAUUGAGACAGGAAAAUUUAAGUGGCAUUAUAAUGAAGGAUAUGACUAGGGGUCAAAUAGUAAAAAUUAGAAAUGAUAUAGGAAUUCAGAAAACAGAGGAAAAGAUCUUGUGGGACAGAGAAGUUAAAGGGAAAUUCAUCUAUGAGGUAUGAAUGGAAGUGGGCCUUGAAAGAUUAGCAGAAUUUGGAAGAAAAACAAAGUGGGGCUAGAGUUUACAACUAGGUGCAAUGGUCUGAGUAAAGCCAGGUUGUGUAUCUUCCAGUCCUUUAGGGUCAGAAGAGAGGAUAUGUGGAAAAUGAGGCUGGCAAGGAGUCUGGAGUUAGAUUCCCAAAGAUGGGAGAAAGGACUUAGACACUGGGUUCCCAGUUGAUCCCAUAGGCUUUGGGGAAAGGUCCAACAUGAUGAAAUCAGAGACUGGAAUAGAAGAACUAACAAUGGAGUAAUGGACAGAGUGGAGAGGACAGAGGAGCUAGCUGGACAGAGUGCAGAGGAGAGAGGGGCUAGCUGGACAGAGUGGAGGGGAGAGAGAAGCUAGCUGGAAGAAGAGAAGUUAGGGUUCCAAUAUAUUAAAAGAAACAAUGUGUACAAAUGGCUGACAAAUAAUAAGCACUAAAAAAUGUCAUAUCAUACAAUUUUAUUAUUAAAGAGUACUUCUCAACCAAGUCAGAGAAAUAUCUGCAAAUGAGGAACAUAUGAAAUAUUUUAUUUUAUAACUGAAAGGUUAUAUUUUUCUACUCCCUUCACCCAUUUUGCCUACUUCCAAGCCCCCUCUUCUAAUCUGUUCCCUGUAUCUAUGUGCUUGACUUUUGUUUUAUUUUGUCUAGAUACCAGAUAUAAGUGAAGUAAUACAGUAUUUGUCUUUAUCUGACUUAUUUCACUUUGUAUAAUGCCCUCAAGGUCCAUCCAUGUUGUCACAAAUGGCAAGAUUCCAUUCUUUUUUACGGCUGAAUAAAAUUCCAUUAGAUAGAUAGAUAGAUAGAUAGAUAGAUAGAUAGAUAGAUAGAUAGAUAGAUAGAUAGAUAGACAGACAGACAGACAGACAGACAGACAGACAGACAGACAGACAGAUAGAUAGAUAGAUAGAUAGAUAGAUAGAUACAUAGAUACAUAGAUACAUAGAUAGAUACAUAGAUAGAUACAUAGAUAGACAAACAGACAGAGAGACAGGAGAUAGAACUCAUGUCUUUAUCCACUGGCAUAAAAACAGACAUAGUUUGUGGAGUUCCUGCUGUGCACAGUUAAGAAUCUGACUGCAGCAGCUCAGGUCAACUGAGGGGGCUUGGGUUCAAUCCCUGGCUGGAUGUAGUGGGUUAAAAGGAUCCAGCUUUGCCCCAGCUGUGGUGUAAGUCACAGCUGCAGUUUGGAUUCAAUCCCUGGCCUGGCCAUUAAAAAACAAACAAACGGAGUUCCCAUCAUGGCACAGCGGAAAUGAAUCCGACUUGGAACUAUGAGGUUGUGGGUUCGAUCCCUGGACUCGCUCUGUGGGUUAAGGAUCCGGCAUUGCUGUGAGCUGUGGUGUAAGUCAUGGACACGGCUCAGAUCUGGUGUUGCUGUGUCUGUGGUGUAGGCUGGCAGCUACAGCUCCAAUUAGACCCCUAGCCUUGGACCUCCGUAUGCUGUGGGUACGGACCUAAAACGCAAAAAUCAAACAAACAACAACAAAAGAAACCAGGCAUAAGUCAACAGAACAGUAUAGAGAACUCAGAAAUAAACUCAUGCAUAUAUGGUCAGUUUAAUCUAUAACAAAGGAGGCAAGAAUAUAAAAUGGGAAAAGUCCAGUCUCUUCACUAAAUGGUGCUGGGAGGAGUUCCCAUUGUGGCAGAAUGGGGUUGGUAGUAUCUUGGGAGCGCUGGGAUACAGGUUCAACUCCCAGACCAGCACAUUGGGUUAAGGAUCUGGCAUUGCCACAGCUGUGGCUUAGGUUGUAACUAUGGCUCAGAUCUGAUCCCUGGCCUGGGAACUCCAUGUAUGCUGCGGGGUGGCAAAAAAAUAAAAAAUGGUGUUGGGAAAACUAGGCAGCCACAUGCAAAAGAAGGAAGCUAGACUAUUAUCUUAGACCAUACACAGAAAUUAACUCAAGAAGGAUCAAAAAAUUGAAUACAUGACCUGAAACCAUGAAACUCCUAGAAGAAAACAUAAAUUCUUUGAUAUUAAACUCGAGGAUGAUUUUUUUUUUUUGGAUCUUAUUCCAAAAGCAAAGGCAACAAAAGCAAAAAUAAACAAGUGAGACUCCAUCAAACUAAAAAGUUUCUGCACAUAAAAAGGAAACCAUUAACAAAAUGAAAAGACAACCUACUAAAUGGGAGAAAAUAUUUGCAAAUUACAUAUCCAAUAAGGGGUUAACAUCCAAAAUAUAUAAAGAACUCACACAACUCAAUAGCAAAAAAACAAAACAGUUGAAUUAAAAAAUGGGCCAAGGAGUUCCUGUUGUGGCUCAGCAGGUUAAGAACCCAACAGAGUCUCUGUGAGGAUACAGGUUCAAUCCCUGGCCUCGCUCAAUGGGUUAAAGAUCUGGCGUUGCUGAAAGCUACAGCAGAGGUCACAGAUGUGGCUUGGAUCCAGUGUUGCUGUGGCUGUAGGCUGGCAGCUGCAGCACCUAUUUGACCCCUAGCC
rnacentral:lncRNA from 1 species